GGAAUAUUGGUCAAUGGGCGCGCGCCUGAACCAGCCAAGUAGCGUGCAGGACGACGGCCCUACGGGUUGUAAACUGCUUUUAUCAGGGGAUAAAGUGCGGCACGUGUGCCGGUUUGUAGGUACCUGAUGAAUAAGGACCGGCUAAUUCCGUGCCAGCAGCCGCGGUAAUACGGAAGGUCCGGGCGUUAUCCGGAUUUAUUGGGUUUAAAGGGAGCGCAGGCGGCUUGUUAAGCGUGACGUGAAAUGUACCGGCUCAACCGGUGACUUGCGUCGCGAACUGGCUGGCUUGAGUGCGUACGAGGAUGGCGGAAUUCGUGGUGUAGCGGUGAAAUGCUUAGAUAUCACGAAGAACUCCGAUUGCGAAGGCAGCUGUCCAGUCCGUAACUGACGCUAAUGCUCGAAGGUGCGGGUAUCGAACA
rnacentral:rRNA from 1 species